UCGAGUUUAAAGCUCUCCAAACCCAUGUGAACAUACCUAACUGUUGCCUCGGGGGGGGUCCUACCCGGGACGCCCUACCCUGGCAGCCCCUACCCGGGAGUGGCCGCCGGUGGAUUACCAAACUCUAUUUUACGAGUUUCAUCUCUGAGAUGAAAAGCAAAUAAUCA
rnacentral:misc_RNA from 1 species